rnacentral:lncRNA from 1 species
UGAGUUUCUAGAAGAAUCUUUUACUGUUACAUUGGUUAUAACAAACUAACUAAUUUGUAACCAACUUAACUCACCACUCAUCUAAUACAUCUACUAACUCACUUUAUAUUUCAAUACUCCCCCUCAAGCUAGGAUGGAAGACAUUUACAACUCCUAGCUUAGAAAGAAGAAACUGAUGUUGCACUGUCCCUAAUCCCUUUGUAAA